rnacentral:snoRNA from 1 species
AGAAGGCAAAGGAUGAGAAAGGUUCUAAAUGGGUAAUUUGCAUCUGAUCUUUGUGAUGAUCAUUCGCCUUCACCUUGGAGAACUGAUGCCUUCG